CUAGUCAUAAUCUAGAAUGUUUGAUUUUAUUUAUAAGUUUUUUCUCUGCGUGGUAAUGCCCUGCAAGUAAGUGGAAUUUUGACAUCACUUUGUUGUGAUGUCACUUUUUUUGACCUUUAGUAAACUGAGCCCUAAACAACUGUCAAAUACUUGAAGUUGUGAAUCAAGGAACAUUUAAAGCUAAAAGUGAUUUUUUUCCCCCAGUAAUUACACUACACAUAGGUCUCAAACCCCAC